rnacentral:rRNA from 1 species
GAGACUGCCGGUAUUAAACCGGAGGAAGUGGGGAUGACGUCAAAUCAUCAUGCCCCUUAUGACCUGGGCUACACACGUGCUACAAUGGUUGGUACAACGAGUUGCGAGUCGGUGACGGCGAGCUAAUCUCUUAAAGCCAAUCUCAGUUCGGAUUGUAGGCUGCAACUCGCCUACAUGAAGUCGGAAUCGCUAGUAAUCGCGGAUCAGCACGCCGCGGUGAAUACGUUCCCGGGCCUU